GAUGAACGCUGACAGAAUGCUUAACACAUGCAAGUCGAUGGGGAAGUGGUGCUUGCACCAUGGCAACCAUGGCGGACGGGUGAGUAACGCGUAAGGGACUUACCUGCAGGACUGGGAUAACAGGGGGAAACUCCUGACAAGACCGGAUAAUGUCAUGGAGCUGCAUGGCUUUAUGAUGAAAGGAGACGCCUGCGGAGAGCCUUGCGUCCUAUUAGCUAGUUGGUGAGGUAGUGGCUCACCAAGGCGAAGAUAGGUAGCCGGCCUGAGAGGGUGGACGGCCACAAGGGGACUGAGAUACGGCCCUUACUCCUACGGGAGGCAGCAGUGGGGAAUAUUGGACAAUGGGGGCAACCCUGAUCCAGCAAUUCUGUGUGCACGAAGAAGGUUUUCGGAUUGUAAAGUGCUUUCAGCAGGGAAGAAGUAAGUGACGGUACCUGCAGAAGAAGCGACGGCUAAAUACGUG
rnacentral:rRNA from 1 species